rnacentral:piRNA from 1 species
UGAUUUGUGGAGCAUCCGGCGAGGAAUGA